rnacentral:sRNA from 1 species
ACUUAGAAAGCGUUAGGGAUAGAAGCGAUAUCCUUUUUAUUUUUCCUUUAAAAAUAAAAAGAUAUAGCGGAUAGCCCGGCCGGAG